GGAACCGCAUGGUUCUAAAGUGAAAGAUGGUUUUGCUAUCACUUAUAGAUGGACCCGCGCCGUAUUAGCUAGUUGGUAAGGUAACGGCUUACCAAGGCGACGAUACGUAGCCGACCUGAGAGGGUGAUCGGCCACACUGGAACUGAGACACGGUCCAGACUCCUACGGGAGGCAGCAGUAGGGAAUCUUCCGCAAUGGGCGAAAGCCUGACGGAGCAACGCCGCGUGAGUGAUGAAGGGUUUCGGCUCGUAAAACUCUGUUAUUAGGGAAGAACAAAUGUGUAAGUAACUGUGCACGUCUUGACGGUACCUAAUCAGAAAGCCACGGCUAACUACGUGCCAGCAGCCGCGGUAAUACGUAGGUGGCAAGCGUUAUCCGGAAUUAUUGGGCGUAAAGCGCGCGUAGGCGGUUUCUUAAGUCUGAUGUGAAAGCCCACGGCUCAACCGUGGAGGGUCAUUGGAAACUGGGAAACUUGAGUGC
rnacentral:rRNA from 1 species